GCUGGAACUCUUCCCCUCGCUCCUUCUCUAAUUAAUUGUAUUUACUGAGCACUUACUGAGUGCUGAACGCUGUGCUAAGCUCUUGGGAGAGUAUGAUAUAACCAUAAACCGAUCCAUGCCCUGCCCACAAUGAGUCAAGAGGGCAAAAGCAAACGCUCAGAAUGAUGGUCUCUAGGUGAACAGGGAGUCUUCCAUGCAAGUGAUACAAUCUGCGGUGGUUGAGCAGUGGAAAAGAAAUGAUAACCCCUUCUCGGGCAGGAGGGAAGGGCCCCAGGCAGAGGCGAGCGAGGAAUGUGAUUAGCGACACCAGAGAAGAAGCCCAGGAUGCUGUGAGAUUGUCUCCGUGUAGAGAUCGUCAUGGCAACCAAGUGGCAAGUUGAGCCACUAGACUUUCUUCAGUGAACUGCAGCACUCCUUGGAUUUUCCAGCCCCGCCGGGGAUUGUGAAAAUAAAUUUUGUUCUUCAA